UAUUCUGGUUGAUCCUGCCUCUAGUCUUAUGCUUGUCAUCCAUAUUAAGCCGUGCAUGUCUAAAUUUAAUCACUAGACUAUUGAAACUGCUAAUGGCUCCUUAUGAUCUUUCGUAAUUUAUUUGAUGGUACCUUACUACUUGGAUAAAUGUGGAUAAUUCUACAGCUAAUACAUGCUGAAAAAUCCCGACUUCUGGACGGCAUGUAUUUAUUAAAUCCGAAACCACUGGCCUUCUUCUCCCUAUAGUGAAUCGUAUUAACUGCUCGAAUCGCAUGGCCUUGCGCCGGCGAUGCUUCAUUCAAAUAUCUGCCCUAUCAACUUUCGAUGGUAGGAUAGAGGCCUACCAUGGUGAUGACGGGUAACGGGGAAUAAGGGUUCGAUUCCGGAGAGAGGGCCUGAGAAACGGCCCUCAGGUCUAAGGACGCGCAGCAGGCGCGCAAAUUAUCCCCUGGCAACACUUUGCCGAGAUAGUGACAAUAAAUAACAAUGCAGGGCUCUUACGGGUCUUGCAAUUGGAAUGAGUACAAUUUAAAUCCCUUAACGAGGAUCAAUUGGAGGGCAAGUCUGGUGCCAGCAGCCGCGGUAAUUCCAGCUCCAAUAGCGUAUAUUAAAAUUGUUGCCGUUAAAAAGCUYGUAGUCGAACUUYGGGSUYUGUCAGCCGGUCCGCCUUYYUGGUGUGUACUUGUUUGACGGAGCCUUACCUCYUGGUGAACGGCGAUGUCCUUUACUGGGUGUCGUCGCAAACCAGGACUUUUACUUUGAAAAAAUUAGAGUGUUCAAAGCARGCCUUUKSCCGAAUACAUUAGCAUGGAAAUAAUAAAAUAGGACGCGCGUUCCCAUUUUGUUGGUUUCUGAGAUCGCCGUAAUGAUUAAUAGGGAUAGUUGGGGGCAUUUGUAUUCCGUCGUCAGAGGUGAAAUUCUUGGAUUGCCGGAAGACAAACUACUGCGAAAGCAUUUGCCAAGGAUGUUUUCAUUGAUCAAGAACGAAGGAAGGGGGAUCGAAAACGAUUAGAUACCGUUGUAGUCUCUUCUGUAAACUAUGCCAAUUGGGGAUCGGUACAGGAUUUUUAAUGACUGUAUCGGCACCCGAAGAGAAAUCUUUAAAUGAGGUUCGGGGGGGAGUAUGGUCGCAAGGCUGAAACUUAAAGGAAUUGACGGAAGGGCACCACCAGGUGUGGAGCCUGCGGCUUAAUUUGACUCAACACGGGGAAACUCACCAGGUCCAGACACAAUAAGGAUUGACAGAUUGAUAGCUCUUUCUUGAUCUUGUGGUUGGUGGUGCAUGGCCGUUCUUAGUUGGUGGAGUGAUUUGUCUGGUUAAUUCCGAUAACGAACGAGACCUUAACCUGCUAAAUAGACCAGCCGGCUUUGGCUAGCUGCUGUCUUCUUAGAGGGACUAUCAGCGUUUAGCUGAUGGAAGUUUGAGGCAAUAACAGGUCUGUGAUGCCC
rnacentral:rRNA from 1 species